GUUUAUGGACAACGGGGUCUUCUGAUUUUGUUAACUGUAUCCUGAGCAUCUUGUGGGGGCAGCUCAGAAUCUCAUCCGGGAUAGAUCCAGUUUGGAGGAGUCCCUACUGCACAGCAUACGGUAAACAAAAUAAAAAUAGCUUGUUCUUGUUAUCCACAUAGAGCAUUAUAUAACCAGCUUCCGACUUGCUUUUUUUUUUUGCCAUUACUACUCUUCAGCAAUUUCCCCGUCUGCAAAAGUAUUUAAAUGUUCCCAAUUUUUGCAGGGUUGUAGCUAUCAAAAACAACAAAACAAAACAGUGCUGGAACGGGUUUUAGCCGAUUCCCAACGUCCUUGGAAACUGUGCAGUGUCCCCCCCACCCCGAAACACUCUCCACCUUCAGCUUCAAUCCUUCCUCCCUCACCCCUCACUAAGGUUCUCCCUAGAAAAUGUGAAUUGUUUUACCACUUCCAGCAAAAACCCUGCACCGCCUAAAAUAAAACGAAAGCCCAGCACAGGAAGUUUGAGGCCAAUUGAGGCGGGGGAAAAAGGUGAAGGGGUUGAAGCCGGUGCAGAAAAAACCAGGAGAUCAGAUAACCAAGCUCCCAAUCUCAAAGUCUCUUUCCAAGCAUGACCCCUUCCCCCAAAGCACACACUCACACGCCCCUCUUAUUACAACACCUCACUUCUACCUCUCCCCUUUCGGCCCUGCUUGCAUACCCUCCCCCUCUCCCUCGCUUGCCCUCUGGGGACUGGCCUGCACUCACUCCGCACUGGAACAAGUAGGAGGCGGUGGUAGUGGUAGUGCUGAUGGUGUCUCCGGCCUGGCCCGGCCCUGAGUGAACAGCGGGGCUACUGGGCGCAUCCCAAUCCCUGCAGCGCCUCCUCCUCCUUCUCCUUCCCCUCCUCCUGGCUUCAUUCACCCUCUCAGCAACCACACAACCCCUUUCACUCUAGGCACGGGGGCAGGACUUGCCCCACGGCCACCAGCUCCUCUACUACUCUCUUACGCUCUCUCCCGUGCAACGUGCAGCCGGCACCAGCGAAAAGCCUCCUCCCCACCCCCCUGAACGGAGUGCUAGCCCGGCACAGGGCAGCAGCGGCAGAGCGGUGCUGGCGGCGGCGGCGGCAGCGGCAGCAGCACCAGCAGCUGAGGCUCCACAUGAUCAGGAAGCAGCCGCACAAACAAGGCAGCAGCCAGCCAGGGCCGCCACUCCAGCCGCUGCCGCUGCUCCGGGCACCCACAGACACACACUCACGCGCGCGCGCGUCCCCUCCCCGUUACCCUUCUCAGCCUCAGUCUCUCAGUCUCUCUGUCUCUCUCAGUCUCUCUCUCUUUCUCUGUUCCCCCCUUACUCUCCCUCUCCCAUACUCCCACCCCCUCUUCUCCUAGCCAGGGCAGGAGACCUUGGCCACUUGCAAAGUCCUGACCAGACCGCCCCCCCGCCCCGUCUCCUAGACGCGUGCACACACACACACACACACACACACACACACACACACACACAGAGGAGGACAGUCUUGCCAGGCUUGGCGACCCCCAGCAGCAAGGAGGAAGAAGCCGGCAGGGAAAGGUCUCCGAGGAGCUCCGACUGACUUUUUUACUCAAACCCCAGAAGUGUCGACUAGAGAAGAGGAGGAUCAAGCCAUUUAGGCAGUCAAACAAAAUGGAUCUUCCAGAGAUGUGGGGAAAAAGAAGCUUACUCUCCGAAGUUGGAAAGAGAAUUGAAGACCCUAUUUGUGGCUGCAGGAAAGGAAGGGAGCCCAGCAAGGAAACUACCAGCAGAUGGUAAAUACAUUUUUAAUUCCUUCUGUCAUACUGUGUGGACUUGUGCACAUUUGUCCUGCUGUGUUAGGCGCCUUAAAUAGCUAGCCAUGGAACUGAGUAGCAGUUUUGCUUCUGUCUGAAAUAUAGGAUACCAUGCUAGGCUGACAGAAAUGGAAGAGCUGAGAGUAGGACUGGGAUGGGAUGCAUUUGCUUCCAGUUUUUUAUUUCUGAAAUAUGUCACAUGCUGCACUUCUUAAUGCAUUGGGGGUUGAUUGAACAUUGUGUCCUCUUCUCCAUAUGAAAGUCAAAUACGUCAGAAUAUUUGGAAUCCUACUAGCAGUGUCAGUUAUAUUGGGGCAGGAGGCUACUCAUUAAAUGGGUAACAUCCUUAUGGCAACUGUUGGAGGCUUAGCCUUUAGAUCCAUUUAAUUAUGGAACCCAAGUCCUCUGAGGAGUGUCAGAGCCAUAUGUAAUAG
ensembl:lncRNA